AAACCCAUAGGCAGCUUCUGCACAGGCUCAUCUGGCCUGUAUGAGAGUGCUGAGGAGGGGGGCUCCGAACCGCGACUUCCGAGGUCCCGGGAGGCUUCCUGGAGGAGGUGCCACACUCAGCUCCAAAGGUUAAGAAAGCCAGAGGUGGGGCGAGAUGAAGAGAGCAUUUCCCCAGAGAAGUCCGAGCUGUGGGUGGGCGGGUGGGGAGGGGCCUUGGUGCCACCGCGAAUCUGGAAGGAGGGAUGGCAGUGGCUGCGGCCCAGGUACUGCUGGAGGGGGGAGCCGGGUGGGCGCGUUCAAAGGUUUGGGUGUCCUCCGUGGGCACAGGGGAGUCACUCAAGGUUUUGUGACAAAAUUACGGUCUUAGAAGGGCUGCCGAGGGGGGCAGUGGGGCGCGGGAGAGUGGGUCCCUGCCCCGGGGCGCGGGAGUGCCGGGGUGCGGGGCGCAGGGGGCGCGGGGUGCGGGGUGCAGGGCCGCGGGGUGCAGGGCCGCGGGGCGCGUGGUGCCGGGGCGUGUGGCGCAGGGGCACAGGGUGCAGGGGUGCGGGGUGCAGGGGCGCGGAGCGCAGGGGCGAAGGGGCGCGGGGUGCAGGGGCGCGGGGCGCGGGUGCAGGGGCGCGGGGGUGCGGGGUGUGGGGGCGCGGGGCGCGGAGUGCAGGGGUUCAGGGGCGCGGGGUUCAGGGGUGCGGGGUGCAGGGGCGCGGGUUGCAGGGGCGUGGGGUGCGGGGUGCAGGGGCACGGGGUGCGGGGUGCAGGGGCUCGGGGAGCAGGGGCGCGGGGAGCUGGGGCGAAGGGGCGCGGGGUGCAGGGGUGCAGGGACGCGGGGUGCAGGGGUGCAGGGGCGCGGGGUGCAGGGCGCUGGGCGCAGGGGUGCGGAGUGCAGAGGCGCGGGGCGCUGGGGCACAGGGGCGCGGGGUGCAAGGGUGCAGGGCCGCGGGGUGCAAGGGUGCAGGGGCGCGGGGGCGCGGAGUGCAGGGGCGCGGGGGCGCGGGCGCCCAAGGGCCGGGAGGGUCGCCGCGGAGAUGGCUGUGA
rnacentral:lncRNA from 1 species